UCUCCGUUGGUGAACCAGCGGAGGGAUCAUUACUGAGUUACCGCUCUACAACCCUUUGUGAACAUACCUAACUGUUGCUUCGGCGGGCAGAGGUCCCUCGCGGAUCUCUCCCGGCAACGCCCUCACGGGCGGAGCGCCCGCCGGAGGAUACCAAACUCUAUUUUAACGACGUUUCUUCUGAGUGGCACGAGCAAAUAAUUAAAACUUUUAACAACGGAUCUCUUGGUUCUG
rnacentral:misc_RNA from 1 species